rnacentral:tRNA from 1 species
CAGUAGGUAGUUUAUUAAAAUAUUAAUUUUGGGGAUUAAUGAUGAGGUUUAAAUUCCUUCUUACUGA